UAAUUAUCUAAUAUUUUACAAUUUUGAUUUUGCUGGUCAAUUUUUUAAUUUGUUUAAUUUUAGUCGGACAGCGACAUUUUGAUUUUAAAAUCUGAAUAUGACUUUUAUUUUGAUUUUAAAAUUUGAAUUAUAAAUUUUAUUUUUAUAGACUUAAUUAGUAUAUAUAUUUUAAAUAUUUUUUACAACUAUAUAAUAAAUUUGAAUUUAUUAAAGUAAAUA
rnacentral:lncRNA from 1 species